GUGGGGAAUAUUGCGCAAUGGAGGAAACUCUGACGCAGCAACGCCGCGUGAAGGAUGAAGGUCUUCGGAUUGUAAACUUCUUUGAUGAGGGACGAAGGAAGUGACGGUACCUCAAAAACAAGCCACGGCUAACUACGUGCCAGCAGCCGCGGUAAUACGUAGGUGGCGAGCGUUGUCCGGAAUUACUGGGUGUAAAGGGCGCGUAGGCGGGGAUGUAAGUCAGAUGUGAAAUACCAUGGCUCAACCGUGGGGCUGCAUCUGAAACUAUGUUUCUUGAGUGCUGGAGAGGAAAGCGGAAUUCCUAGUGUAGCGGUGAAAUGCGUAGAUAUUAGGAGGAACACCAGUGGCGAAGGCGGCUUUCUGGACAGUAACUGACGCUGAGGCGCGAAAGCGUGGGGAGCGAACAGGAUUAGAAACCCCAGUAGUCC
rnacentral:rRNA from 1 species